GACAGAGGGGGCAAGCGUUGCUCGGAAUCACUGGGCGUAAAGGGCGCGUAGGCGGGAUGGCAAGUCGGUCGUGAAAUCCUUCGGCUCAACCGAAGAACGUCGGCCGAUACUGCCGUUCUUGAGGGAUGCAGAGGAGAUUGGAAUUCCCGGUGUAGCGGUGAAAUGUGUAGAGAUCGGGAGGAACACCGGUGGCGAAGGCGGGUCUCUGGGCAUCUCCUGACGCUGAGGCGCGAAAGCUAGGGGAGCGAACAGG
rnacentral:rRNA from 1 species